CUUAGCACAGUGAAAGACACAUUUAUUCCCUUAUUGUGGAUUACCGAAAUCAUUGUAGCUUCUUCAUUGAUCUUUUUGUUCCUUUGUCUAGGAGAUGCUUCGUUACGAUCUAAAAAGGAAGAUAUUUUUGUGUUGUGUACUGACCGGUGUUACAGUGAUGAUUGUGAUUGGUUACCGUCACCAUUACAGGAAGGAUCCGGACAACAAUCACUGGUCCAACAAUAGGAUGUCCAAUGAUCAUUUAUCCACUAAGCUUCCAGGUCACACAGAUUUGGACAAUCUUACCUACAAAGGAACCAAAGAAAAGAUAAAGAUCCUAGCUAAGAUUAUUCACCGCGCAAA